UACAGAGGUCCCAAGCGUUGUUCGGAUUUACUGGGCGUAAAGGGUGCGUAGGCGGUCGGGUAAGUCUGACGUGAAAUCUUCAAGCUUAACUUGGAAACUGCGUCGGAUACUAUUCGGCUCGAGGAAUGGAGGGGAGACUGGAAUACUUGGUGUAGCAGUGAAAUGCGUAGAUAUCAAGUGGAACACCAGUGGCGAAGGCGGCUCACUGGUCCGGUACUGACGCUGAGGUGCGAAAGCGUGGGGAGCAAACAGG
rnacentral:rRNA from 1 species